GACGAACGCUGGCGGCGUGCUUAACACAUGCAAGUCGAACGGAAAGGCCCUGCUUUUGUGGGGUGCUCGAGUGGCGAACGGGUGAGUAACAAGUGAGUAACCUGCCCUUGACUUUGGGAUAACUUCAGGAAACGGGGGCUAAUACCGGAUAGGAGCUCCUGCUGCAUGGGGGGGGUUGGAAAGUUUCGGCGGUUGGGGAUGGACUCGCGGCUUAUCAGCUUGUUGGUGGGGUAGUGGCUUACCAAGGCUUUGACGGGUAGCCGGCCUGAGAGGGUGACCGGCCACAUUGGGACUGAGAUACGGCCCAGACUCCUACGGGAGGCAGCAGUGGGGAAUAUUGCACAAUGGGCGGAAGCCUGAUGCAGCAACGCCGCGUUCGGGAUGACGGCCUUCGGGUUGUGAACCGCUUUCGCCUGUGACGAAGCGUGAGUGACGGUAAUGGGUGAAGAAGCACCGGCUAACUACGUG
rnacentral:rRNA from 1 species